rnacentral:other from 1 species
AAUAUUCUGCCUUGUUCGAGUAAAUAUGGUUUUUAUAAUCCAACACUUUUUUAAAGGGAAUCCGACUCUGGCUGAUGAUUGCAGACCUCCCGCAUUAGCGGACGAAGGGAGCGUGAGGCUGUCAGGAGGAUACCCACCUGGCUUUUUAGCUUGGUUUUAUUCGCUGUAUGACGGCAAGGCGGUUUAUUU